AGAGUUUGAUCCUGGCUCAGAGCGAACGCUGGCGGCAGGCCUAACACAUGCAAGUCGAGCGGCCGUAGCAAUACGGCAGCGGCAGACGGGAGAGUAACACGUGGGAACGCGCCCUUCGGUUCGGGAUAACCCAGGGAAACUUGGGCUAAUACCGGAUACGCCCUUACGGGGAAAGAUUUAUUGCCGAAGGAACGGCCCGCGUCCGAUUAGCUAGUUGGUGAGGUAACGGCUCACCAAGGCGACGAUCGGUAGCUGGUCUGAGAGGAUGACCAGCCUCACUGGGACUGAGACACGGCCCAGACUCCUACGGGAGGCAGCAGUUAGGAAUCUUGCGCAAUGGACGAAAGUCUGACGCAGCGACGCCGCGUGCGGGAUGAAGGCCCUCGGGUUGUAAACCGCUUUCAGCAGGGACGAAAUUGACGGUACCUGCAGAAGAAGCCCCGGCCAACUACGUGCCAGCAGCCGCGGUAAUACGUAGGGGGCAAGCGUUGUCCGGAUUUAUUGGGCGUAAAGAGCUCGUAGGUGGUUCGGUAAGUCGGAUGUGAAAUCUCCAGGCUCAACCUGGAGGGGUCAUUCGAUACUGCCGUGACUAGAGGUCGGUAGGGGAGCGUGGAAUUCCUGGUGGAGCGGUGAAAUGCGCAGAUAUCAGGAGGAACACCCGUAGCGAAGGCGGCACUCUGGGCCGAUACUGACACUGAGGAGCGAAAGCGUGGGGAGCGAACAGGAUUAGAUACCCUGGUAGCCCACGCCGUAAACGUUGGGCACUAGUGUGGGACUCUAUCGACGGGUUCCGUGCCGUAGCUAACGCAUUAAGCGCCCCGUCUGGGGAGUACGGCCGCAAGGCUAAAACUCAAAUGAAUUGACGG
rnacentral:rRNA from 1 species